UACGUAGGGGGCAAGCGUUGUCCGGAUUUACUGGGCGUAAAGGGCGCGUAGGCGGCCUCCGCAAGUCAGUUGUGAAAUCUCCGAGCUUAACUCGGAAAGGUCAACUGAUACUGCGGGGCUAGAGUGCGGAAGGGGCAACUGGAAUUCUUGGUGUAGCGGUGAAAUGCGUAGAUAUCAGGAGGAACACCGAUGGCGAAGGCAGAUCUCUGGGCCGUAACUGACGCUGAGGAGCGAAAGCAUGGGGAGCGAACAGG
rnacentral:rRNA from 1 species